rnacentral:lncRNA from 1 species
UGCAUAUCGCCCCGUCCAUCCCCAGAGAAUUCUCUUGAAGACUAAGUGGAAAAGAGAUGGAGACACACGGUGCCAUGGCAACUCCAGGUGGGAGUUGACCCUGGAGACAGGUGUCUACGAGUGGCCAGAUUGUCCCACGCAAGUGCGCUGGAGGAUGUAAGGCCAUAAAUGCAAGAUGUGAGUGACUUCUGACUGAAGCUAAGCACACUCAACAAACCCAGCUGCAGUGGAAUGUGGACUAUAAUAAGUCUGAUUGUUUAUAUUCAGAAGGAAAUAGCUACAGAAGAAAUCAGGAGCAUUUUAUUCCAUCAGGGAGGACCCAGCAGAGAACUCUGCUGCUCCAGGAUGCAGGCCCUGGGCAACCAUUCAAGGAUGGCACCCAAGAUGGGACAGAGCUGCUCUGGAAAGGUCUCUGGCCAGCAGUGUGAGAGGAUGGACUGAGGUGGAGGCUACCACAGGGAUGGAGGAGUCUUAGAACCUGCUCCAAAUGAAGUAUGGAUAUUAUGUCCAGAUGCUACCCAGGGGCUGAAUCAUGGGAAUCAGGGAAGAACAGACAGAGAACUUCAAUUCACAGCAUUCGUCCAGGCCACCUCUGUAUAAAUGUUCUCAAAUUCUAGAGUGCUUCCAUCCCUCUGGGACUUUUAUGGCAUUUUAUAAGUUGUAUUUAACUUCUAGGUGAAAUAGGGAUGUGGCACUGAGGAUCAACUACAGAGAGAGGUAAAGAAGAGCAUGUGGCCAGAGAAGAGAUUUUUGGCUUCAUUCAGAAUAAUUUACUUUUAUUUUUAUUUUUAGUAAAGAUGGCAUCUUGCCAUAUGUUUGCCAGGUUGGUCUUGAACUCCUGGCCUUAAAGAAUCUCCCCACCUUCCAGAUUGCUAGGAUUAUAGGAAGGAGCCACUGUGCCUGGCCCCCGAAUAAUUUCUGAGCACUACCUAGUCUGCUUUAAGCAAAACUAAAAGUUGGCUAUUUUGUCAUGUGCUAAAAAUGCAGGAGGCGCUCACAGAG